rnacentral:rRNA from 1 species
GACCCGUCUUGAAACACGGACCAAGGAGCCCAACAUUUGCGCAAGUCGCUCGGUCUUGAAUAGGCCAGAGAGGCGAAAUAAACAUAACGGUAUGAUCCUUGCCAGUCUCGAUUGGCAAGGCGCAAUACCAACCUGCUAUCAGUUCUUAGUUGAACAAUAGUGGCGUUCGAGCGUCAAUGUUGGUACCCGAAAGAUGGUGAACUAUACUUGGGCAAGACGAAGCCAGAGGAAACUCUGGUGGAGGUCUGUAGCGAUUCUGACGUGCAAAUCGAUCGUCAGACCUGAGUAUAGGGGCGAAAGACUAAUCGAACCAUCUAGUAGCUGGUUCACUCCGAAGUUUCCCUCAGGAUAGCUGGCGCUAAUUACUCUGUAGCAUCCGGUAAAGCGAAUGAUUAGAGGUAUUGGGAUCGAAACGUUCUCAACCUAUUCUCAAACUUUAAAUGGGUGCGAAGCUUGACUUUUUUUACUCAAUAAAGUCUUGCUUUGUAAGAGUAGUGCCAAGUGGGCCAUUUUUGGUAAGCAGAACUGGCGCUGUGGGAUGAACCAAACGUAGAGUUAAGGUACCAAAUGCCGACGCUCAUGAGACCCCAUGAAAGGUGUUGGUUGCUAUAGACAGCAGGACGGUGGCCAUGGAAGUUGGAAUCCGCUAAGGAGUGUGU